UCGACGGGCUCUUCGGAGCUAGUGGCGGACGGGUGAGGAACGCGUGAGAACCUGCCUCAAGGUCGGGGACAACAGUUGGAAACGACUGCUAAUACCGGAUGAGCCGAAUAGGUAAAAGAUUUAUCGCCUAGAGAGGGGCUCGCGUCUGAUUAGCUAGAUGGUGAGGUAAAGGCUUACCAUGGCGACGAUCAGUAGCUGGUCUGAGAGGAUGAGCAGCCACACUGGGACUGAGACACGGCCCAGACUCCUACGGGAGGCAGCAGUGGGGAAUUUUCCGCAAUGGGCGAAAGCCUGACGGAGCAAUACCGCGUGAGGGAGGAAGGCUCUUGGGUUGUAAACCUCAAAACUUAGGGAAGAAAAAAAUGACGGUACCUAAUGUAAGCAUCGGCUAACUCCGUGCCAGCAGCCGCGGUAAUACGGAGGAUGCAAGCGUUAUCCGGAAUCAUUGGGCGUAAAGAGUCCGUAGGUGGCACUUCAAGUCUGCUUUCAAAGACCGAAGCUCAACUUCGGAAAGGGAGUGGAAACUGAAGAGCUAGAGUAUAGUAGGGGUAGAGGGAAUUCCUAGUGUAGCGGUGAAAUGCGUAGAGAUUAGGAAGAACACCAGUGGCGAAGGCGCUCUACUGGGCAUAUACUGACACUGAGGGACGAAAGCUAGGGGAGCGAAAGGGAUUAGAUACCCCUGUAGUCCUAGCGGUAAACGAUGGAUACUAGGCGUAGUGCUGUUAGAAGGACUGUGCCGAAGCUAACGCGUUAAGUAUCCCGCCUGGGGAGUACGCACGCAAGUGUGAAACUCAAAGGAAUUGACGGGGACCCGCACAAGCGGUGGAGUAUGUGGUUUAAUUCGAUGCAACGCGAAGAACCUUACCAAGGCUUGACAUCCUGCGAAUCUUGGAGAAAUCUGAGAGUGCCUAAGGGAACGCAGAGACAGGUGGUGCAUGGCUGUCGUCAGCUCGUGUCGUGAGAUGUUGGGUUAAGUCCCGCAACGAGCGCAACCCUCGUCCUUAGUUGCCAGCAUUAAGUUGGGGACUCUAGGGAGACCGCCGGGGAGAACUCGGAGGAAGGUGGGGAUGACGUCAAGUCAGCAUGCCCCUUACGUCUUGGGCUACACACGUACUACAAUGGUUGGGACAAAGGGGAGCGAAACCGCGAGGUGGAGCGAAUCUCAUCAAACCCAGCCACAGUUCAGAUUGCAGGCUGAAACUCGCCUGCAUGAAGGAGGAAUCGCUAGUAAUCGCAGGUCAGCAUACUGCGGUGAAUCCGUUCCCGGGUCUUGUACACACCGCCCGUCACACCAUGGAAGUUGGUCACGCCCGAAGUCGUUAUUCUAACCCCAAGUGAAGGAGACGCCGA
rnacentral:rRNA from 1 species